GGGGUUGUAGUUACGACGUAAGGAACAUAUCCGAUAUCAUUUGUGAAACGGUUAUUCCAUAACGGUCAACCAACUCGUGAUGGCGUCCGUAAAAUUUACGAAGGGAUGAUUUCAACUUCACCAUUUGGAACUCUUGGUUUAAUAGCUUCCUUGUAAGCAGCAACCCUCUAUCAAGAAAAUCAUGAUAGGAAAUGCAAGCACGGGAAUAUCGUAUCAAUUGGGAGAUAUAUACCCCGUAUGCAGGUGCUGCUC
rnacentral:lncRNA from 1 species